rnacentral:rRNA from 1 species
AGAGUUUGAUCCUGGCUCAGGACGAACGCUGGCGGCGUGCCUAAUACAUGCAAGUCGAACGCUUCUUUUUCCACCGGAGCUUGCUCCACCGGAAAAAGAAGAGUGGCGAACGGGUGAGUAACACGUGGGUAACCUGCCCAUCAGAAGGGGAUAACACUUGGAAACAGGUGCUAAUACCGUAUAACAAUCAAAACCGCAUGGUUUUGAUUUGAAAGGCGCUUUCGGGUGUCGCUGAUGGAUGGACCCGCGGUGCAUUAGCUAGUUGGUGAGGUAACGGCUCACCAAGGCCACGAUGCAUAGCCGACCUGAGAGGGUGAUCGGCCACAUUGGGACUGAGACACGGCCCAAACUCCUACGGGAGGCAGCAGUAGGGAAUCUUCGGCAAUGGACGAAAGUCUGACCGAGCAACGCCGCGUGAGUGAAGAAGGUUUUCGGAUCGUAAAACUCUGUUGUUAGAGAAGAACAAGGAUGAGAGUAACUGUUCAUCCCUUGACGGUAUCUAACCAGAAAGCCACGGCUAACUACGUGCCAGCAGCCGCGGUAAUACGUAGGUGGCAAGCGUUGUCCGGAUUUAUUGGGCGUAAAGCGAGCGCAGGUGGUUUCUUAAGUCUGAUGUGAAAGCCCCCGGCUCAACCGGGGAGGGUCAUUGGAAACUGGGAGACUUGAGUGCAGAAGAGGAGAGUGGAAUUCCAUGUGUAGCGGUGAAAUGCGUAGAUAUAUGGAGGAACACCAGUGGCGAAGGCGGCUCUCUGGUCUGUAACUGACGCUGAGGCUCGAAAGCGUGGGGAGCAAACAGGAUUAGAUACCCUGGUAGUCCACGCCGUAAACGAUGAGUGCUAAGUGGUGGAGGGUUUCCGCCCUUCAGUGCUGCAGCUAACGCAUUAAGCACUCCGCCUGGGGAGUACGACCGCAAGGUUGAAACUCAAAGGAAUUGACGGGGGCCC